rnacentral:rRNA from 1 species
GACGAACGCUGGCGGCGUGCUUAACACAUGCAAGUCGAACGGAAAGGCCCCAGCUUGCUGGGGUACUCGAGUGGCGAACGGGUGAGUAACACGUGGGUGAUCUGCCCUGCACUCUGGGAUAAGCCUGGGAAACCGGGUCUAAUACCGGAUAGGACCGUGCUUUAGUGUGUGCGGUGGAAAGUUUUUCGGUGCAGGAUGAGCCCGCGGCCUAUCAGCUUGUUGGUGGGGUAAUGGCCUACCAAGGCGGCGACGGGUAGCCGGCCUGAGAGGGUGUACGGCCACAUUGGGACUGAGACACGGCCCAGACUCCUACGGGAGGCAGCAGUGGGGAAUAUUGCACAAUGGGCGCAAGCCUGAUGCAGCGACGCCGCGUGGGGGAUGACGGCCUUCGGGUUGUAAACCCCUUUCGGCAGGGACGAAGCUUUUGUGACGGUACCUGCAUAAGAAGCACCGGCUAACUACGUG